GACGAACGCUGGCGGCGUGCUUAACACAUGCCAGUCGAACGGAAAGACCCUGCUUUUGUGGGGUGCUCGAGUGGCGAACGGGUGAGUAACACGUGAGUAACCUGCCCUUGACUUUGGGAUAACUUCAGGAAACUGGGGCUAAUACCGGAUAGGAGCUCCUGCUGCAUGGUGGGGGUUGGAAAGUUUCGGCGGUUGGGGAUGGACUCGCGGCUUAUCAGCUUGUUGGUGGGGUAGUGGCUUACCAAGGCUUUGACGGGUAGCCGGCCUGAGAGGGUGACCGGCCACAUUGGGACUGAGAUACGGCCCAGACUCCUACGGGAGGCAGCAGUGGGGAAUAUUGCACAAUGGGCGGAAGCCUGAUGCAGCAACGCCGCGUGCGGGAUGACGGCCUUCGGGUUGUAAACCGAUUUCGCAUGUGACGAAGCGUGAGUGACGGUAAUGGGUAAAGAAGCACCGGCUAACUACGUG
rnacentral:rRNA from 1 species